GGUUUGAUCAUGGCUCAGAGUGAACGCUGGCGGUAGGCCUAACACAUGCAAGUCGAACGGCAGCACAGGAGAGCUUGCUCUCUGGGUGGCGAGUGGCGGACGGGUGAGGAAUACAUCGGAAUCUACUCUGUCGUGGGGGAUAACGUAGGGAAACUUACGCUAAUACCGCAUACGACCUACGGGUGAAAGUGGGGGACCGCAAGGCCUCACGCGAUUGAAUGAGCCGAUGUCGGAUUAGCUAGUUGGCGGGGUAAAGGCCCACCAAGGCGACGAUCCGUAGCUGGUCUGAGAGGAUGAUCAGCCACACUGGAACUGAGACACGGUCCAGACUCCUACGGGAGGCAGCAGUGGGGAAUAUUGGACAAUGGGCGCAAGCCUGAUCCAGCCAUGCCGCGUGCAGGAAGACGGUCCUAUGGAUUGUAAACUGCUUUUGUACGGGAAGAAACACUCCCUCGUGAGGGAGCUUGACGGUACCGUAAGAAUAAGGAUCGGCUAACUCCGUGCCAGCA
rnacentral:rRNA from 1 species